CUGUCUGUCUGUCCGUCUAGCUGUUCUUACGAGAGGUACAUUGUGGGGUAAAAUUAACGUAUUUUCCAGCAGUGUGGGGUUUUUUGGGUACUGUGGGGUUAACCCCAUAAUGAAGAGGUCUAAUUACGUUCAAAAUUACUCUAUGAGGUCGAAAAACCUAAAAUUAGAUUUAACCUCACAAAGACUUUGUCCAAAUUUUGGACAUGUCCUUAGCCCAAAACGCUCAGACAUUCAGAAAUCUGCUGUUUAGAGGAGUUCGGUAAUUGAAUCGAGGAGUUCCGAAUACCUGAGCAUGCGCAUAUAUUUAAAACUAACUGCGCAUGCGCAGAUAACGGAAGUAGCUGUGUUUGGACACUUUGUAUUAGCAGUGAGGAAAUUCGGAAACACAAAAAGCAAAUGCAAGUUCAGAUACCACUGAAAGUGAACAUCAGUGGAACUUUGAUGAUCUAGGCCACUCUAUUGUUGCAGCAACACCAGCAGGCGUCGGACAUUCAUAAAGUUGAAAGAACAAACCUAUGACUUGAACACACAAUUUGUGAUCUGAAUAUAGUUCACAAAUUUAAGGAAAGCAACUAUUAAAGACAUCCAGAUCGGUGGUAUACAUGAAGUAUGAGUUAAAGACUUUUCAGAAGAACAAGCACAAUCCCGAUUCAUUUUUGCCAUUGCCUUCUCCAAACGGCGACAUUUAGGACCUGACUUACUUUUCAGAAAAAGAAGAUGAAUCGAUUUUUGAAAGUUAAUCUAAAAAGAUAACAUUUACAUGGGUCGUGGAUUUGAAUUACAUUUUCUUGAUGGGCAACUAGUUUCAAGUAUUUGGAUGUCUAUUCUCAAGUUACUGCAAACCUUAAAUUAACUUCUUGAUUAUUAGUUAACUGUGAGACC